UGGGGAAUAUUGGACAAUGGGCGCAAGCCUGAUCCAGCCAUGCCGCGUGUGUGAAGAAGGCCUUCGGGUUGUAAAGCACUUUUGUCCGGAAAGAAAUCCUUUCGAUUAAUACUCGGAAGGGAUGACGGUACCGGAAGAAUAAGCACCGGCUAACUUCGUGCCAGCAGCCGCGGUAAUACGAAGGGUGCAAGCGUUACUCGGAAUUACUGGGCGUAAAGCGUGCGUAGGUGGUUCGUUAAGUCUGAUGUGAAAGCCCUGGGCUCAACCUGGGAAUGGCAUUGGAUACUGGCGACCUAGAGUGCGGUAGAGGGGUGUGGAAUUCCCGGUGUAGCAGUGAAAUGCGUAGAUAUCGGGAGGAACAUCUGUGGCGAAGGCGACACCCUGGACCAGCACUGACACUGAGGCACGAAAGCGUGGGGAGCAAGC
rnacentral:rRNA from 1 species